AGCGAACGCUGGCGGCGUGCUUAACACAUGCAAGUCGAGUGCGUAGCCCUUUGUAGCAAUACAGAGGGUGGGCGCACGGCGCACGGGUGAGUAACACGUGGGUAACCUGCCCUUCGGUGGGGAAUAACCCGCGAAAGACGGGGCGUAAUUACCGCAUAACAUUCCGGGGACGACAUGUUCUCGGACUCAAAGGAAGUGAUUCGCCGGAGGAGGGGCCCGCGCCCGAUUAGCUUGUUGGUAGGGUAACGGCCACCAAGGCUUUGAUCGGUAGCCGGUCUGAGAGGAUGGCCGGCCACACUGGAACUGAGACACGGUCCAGACUCCUACGGGAGGCAGCAGUGGGGAAUCUUGCGCAAUGGGCGAAAGCCUGACGCAGCGACGCCGCGUGGGGA
rnacentral:rRNA from 1 species